GCCCUUAUAGCUCAGUGGUAGAGCGUUGCACUUGUACGUCUCGCACGUUUAUGCAAAGGUCUAUAGUUCAAUCCUGUAUGGGGGCA